rnacentral:rRNA from 1 species
AAGACCUUGCGCUUUUGGAGCGGCCGAUGCCUGAUUAGCUUGUUGGUAAGGUAAAAGCUUACCAAGGCUUCGAUCAGUAGCUGGUCUGAGAGGACGACCAGCCACACUGGGACUGAGACACGGCCCAGACUCCUACGGGAGGCAGCAGUGGGGAAUUUUGGACAAUGGGGGCAACCCUGAUCCAGCCAUGCCGCGUGAGUGAAGAAGGCCUUCGGGUUGUAAAGCUCUUUCAGCCGGAACGAAACGGUUACGGUUAAUACCCGUGACUACUGACGGUACCGGAAGAAGAAGCACCGGCUAACUACGUGCCAGCAGCCGCGGUAAUACGUAGGGUGCGAGCGUUAAUCGGAAUUACUGGGCGUAAAGCGUGCGCAGGUGGUUUUGUAAGUCAGAUGUGAAAUCCCCGGGCUCAACCUGGGAACU